rnacentral:lncRNA from 1 species
UCGGAAACCGGGGGUCAAAACGCAAUUUAGAAAAAUUGUGCCUCGUCAGCACCACGUCAGCAGCCACGUCAGCGGCCCAGUCAGCAGCCCUGGCCAACCAGAACCUACCGAGUGGCAAGACCACGUCGACCCGGGAACGGGCCACGUGGGCGAUCUGCGUGCGCGCGAUCGGACGGCCCAGAUGCGUCCCCGCGCGCACGGACGACCCAGAUCAAGCGUGCGCACGGACGGCCCAGAUGCACGUGCACGGACGGCCCAGAUUCAAUCAAGUACGAACGGCCCAGAUUUAAUCAAAAUGGACGGCUGUGAUUAAAAGGCAAAAAGGUAUAAAUAAAACCCCCACACCUGACCACAAAAACCCUAGCCGCCUGCCCUCGCUGGAGAAGACGAACC